GGCUCAGUGGUCUAGAGGUAAUGUACUUGCCUAGAAACCUAGGGGUCCCGGGUUCGAUUCCCGUGGGCGUCG